rnacentral:rRNA from 1 species
AGUGAGUGGCGGACGGGUGAGUAACACGUGGGUAACCUGCCCAUUAGAGGGGGAUAACAUUCGGAAACGGAUGCUAAUACCGCAUAGUUUCAGGAAUCGCAUGAUUCUUGAAGGAAAGGUGGCUUCGGCUACCACUAAUGGAUGGACCCGCGGCGUAUUAGCUAGUUGGUGAGGUAAUGGCUCACCAAGGCAAUGAUACGUAGCCGACCUGAGAGGGUGAUCGGCCACACUGGGACUGAGACACGGCCCAGACUCCUACGGGAGGCAGCAGUAGGGAAUCUUCCGCAAUGGACGAAAGUCUGACGGAGCAACGCCGCGUGAGUGAAGAAGGUUUUCGGAUCGUAAAACUCUGUUGUUAAAGAAGAACAAGGAUGAGAGUAACUGCUCAUCCCCUGACGG